UAUAUUCUAUAGGACAUAAUAAUAUGAAUUGUUAUCUGUCAGUGGAGCUCAUAAAAAUUGUUCUUAAAAAUUGUUCUUUUUCAUCCUUUAAAGGCUUCUGUUAACAAUCGUCUUGGGUCGGGAACAAAGAAAGUGUGCUGAAGUGAGAUUGUGUAAAAUUUGAGCUUCCCAUUGCCCAUGGGCCUGCCUGGGCAUAAGCCACAUAGGCUUGAAAUGAUGGUCCAAUCUCUUGCUUUAUCCAUAAGGUGGUACAUCAGUUAUACCACCAGUUGCAGUUGAUGGAUCCCAUCCCGGUGGCUUUAUGUUUGGCCAAUCCCCACGACACCCUAACCUUAUAUAAAGGCUCUUCUUACCUUCAAGAAAACAAAGCAGAAAACAAUAAUGAGCCACAGGACUAGUUCUGCUACAUUACAUGGUAGAAAACAUUGCAAAAGUAGAUGAAGAGAGGAUGCUGUCUCACAGUUAUUCUAAGAUACCUGGAAGUAUCUUGUCUGAUAGAAUUAACUGUUUGAGGGCACUCAAGGAUGCCUGAGCUACACUUUUGGCAUGGUCAGCA